CACUCCCCACAGGCUACUCCAUUCUGGCCCUAUUUAUCCUCAUCUCCCCAAAGCUCCUGCACCCCGCCUUUCUCCUCCCAACCUCCCCCUCGUUCUAGCCCCAGCUUCCCUCUGCCUCCACUUCACCCUAUUAAGAAACAACCGCCCCACAGAAGCCUCUGCCCCUGGCGGCAGCUCCCUGAGCCCCGCCCGCCCUCCCUCCUCCUGCAACUGCUCCUCUCCCUGACAGAUGCCUCAGAGCCCCGGGCCGCAGUUAAGGUGACGAGAUGCAGCAAUUCUUUAUGAACAUUUCAUUCCUGCUCGCUACACGACGUAAAUUAGAUGGUGUGUUACAUUCGGGCAAUAAGAGAGAUAUGUCACCACGACGCUGGCCCAUUGGAUGGAGAGGGGGUUUGGCGAAGAGCGGAAAGGAUUUCACCCUGAUGUGCACACUACUGAGUGACCCCGCUCACCAGCGGCUCUGCUGAUUGCUUUGCACCUUGCAGACUUCGAUACUGGCUCAGCCUCUUGCCGGCCUCGCUCCCUCUGGGUCUCCAGCCCACCCUUCCCCUGCCUGGCUUUCUCUUGAAGCCAAAGCCAAGAGACCUAACAGAGGAGUCACAAAGGUCACGAAGGGAUGGAUGUCUCUGUGGGGAAGAGCAGGGCGGCAGAGCUA
rnacentral:lncRNA from 1 species